GACGAACGCUGGCGGCAGGCCUAACACAUGCAAGUCGAACGAGUGGCGGACGGGUGAGUAAUGUCUGGGAAACUGCCCGAUGGAGGGGGAUAACUACUGGAAACGGUAGCUAAUACCGCAUACCAUCGGAUGUGCCCAGAUGGGAUUAGCUAGUAGGUGGGGUAACGGCUCACCUAGGCGACGAUCCCUAGCUGGUCUGAGAGGAUGACCAGCCAACCUGGAAUGGAGACACGGUCCAGAUCCCAACGGGAGGCAGAAGGGGGGAAUAUUGCACAAUGGGCGAAAGCCUGAUGCAGCCAUGCCGGGUGUAUGAAGAAGGCCUUCGGGUUGUAAAGUACUUUCAGCGAGGAGGCUUUACUCGCAGAAGAAGCACCGGCUAACUCCGUGCCAGCAGCCGCGGUAAUAC
rnacentral:rRNA from 1 species